rnacentral:rRNA from 1 species
AUUGAACGCUGGCGGCAGGCCUAACACAUGCAAGUCGAACGAGUGGCGGACGGGUGCGUACUGUCUGGGAAACUGCCUGAUGGAGGGGGAUAACUACUGGAAACGGUAGCUAAUACCGCAUACCAUCGGAUGUGCCCAGAUGGGAUUAGCUAGUAGGUGGGGUCAAGGCUCACCUAGGCGACGAUCCCUAGCUGGGCUGAGAGGAUGACCAGCCAAGCUGGAACUGAGACACGGUGCAAACUCCUACGAGAGGCAGCAGUGGGGAAUAUUGCACAAUGGGCGGAAGCCUGAUGCAGCCAGGCAGCGUGUGUGAAGAAGGCCUUCGGGUUGUAAAGCACUUUCAGCGAGGAGGCGUUAGUCGCAGAAGAAGCGCCGGCUAACUCCGUGCCAGCAGCCGCGGUAAUAC